rnacentral:rRNA from 14 species
UUUAUGGAGAGUUUGAUCCUGGCUCAGGAUGAACGCUGGCGGCGUGCCUAAUACAUGCAAGUCGAGCGAACGGACGAGAAGCUUGCUUCUCUGAUGUUAGCGGCGGACGGGUGAGUAACACGUGGAUAACCUACCUAUAAGACUGGGAUAACUUCGGGAAACCGGAGCUAAUACCGGAUAAUAUUUUGAACCGCAUGGUUCAAAAGUGAAAGACGGUCUUGCUGUCACUUAUAGAUGGAUCCGCGCUGCAUUAGCUAGUUGGUAAGGUAACGGCUUACCAAGGCAACGAUGCAUAGCCGACCUGAGAGGGUGAUCGGCCACACUGGAACUGAGACACGGUCCAGACUCCUACGGGAGGCAGCAGUAGGGAAUCUUCCGCAAUGGGCGAAAGCCUGACGGAGCAACGCCGCGUGAGUGAUGAAGGUCUUCGGAUCGUAAAACUCUGUUAUUAGGGAAGAACAUAUGUGUAAGUAACUGUGCACAUCUUGACGGUACCUAAUCAGAAAGCCACGGCUAACUACGUGCCAGCAGCCGCGGUAAUACGUAGGUGGCAAGCGUUAUCCGGAAUUAUUGGGCGUAAAGCGCGCGUAGGCGGUUUUUUAAGUCUGAUGUGAAAGCCCACGGCUCAACCGUGGAGGGUCAUUGGAAACUGGAAAACUUGAGUGCAGAAGAGGAAAGUGGAAUUCCAUGUGUAGCGGUGAAAUGCGCAGAGAUAUGGAGGAACACCAGUGGCGAAGGCGACUUUCUGGUCUGUAACUGACGCUGAUGUGCGAAAGCGUGGGGAUCAAACAGGAUUAGAUACCCUGGUAGUCCACGCCGUAAACGAUGAGUGCUAAGUGUUAGGGGGUUUCCGCCCCUUAGUGCUGCAGCUAACGCAUUAAGCACUCCGCCUGGGGAGUACGACCGCAAGGUUGAAACUCAAAGGAAUUGACGGGGACCCGCACAAGCGGUGGAGCAUGUGGUUUAAUUCGAAGCAACGCGAAGAACCUUACCAAAUCUUGACAUCCUUUGACAACUCUAGAGAUAGAGCUUUCCCCUUCGGGGGACAAAGUGACAGGUGGUGCAUGGUUGUCGUCAGCUCGUGUCGUGAGAUGUUGGGUUAAGUCCCGCAACGAGCGCAACCCUUAAGCUUAGUUGCCAUCAUUAAGUUGGGCACUCUAAGUUGACUGCCGGUGACAAACCGGAGGAAGGUGGGGAUGACGUCAAAUCAUCAUGCCCCUUAUGAUUUGGGCUACACACGUGCUACAAUGGACAAUACAAAGGGCAGCGAAACCGCGAGGUCAAGCAAAUCCCAUAAAGUUGUUCUCAGUUCGGAUUGUAGUCUGCAACUCGACUACAUGAAGCUGGAAUCGCUAGUAAUCGUAGAUCAGCAUGCUACGGUGAAUACGUUCCCGGGUCUUGUACACACCGCCCGUCACACCACGAGAGUUUGUAACACCCGAAGCCGGUGGAGUAACCUUUUAGGAGCUAGCCGUCGAAGGUGGGACAAAUGAUUGGGGUGAAGUCGUAACAAGGUAGCCGUAUCGGAAGGUGCGGCUGGAUCACCUCCUUU